UCUUCAGUUUUGAAAAACAGCACCUGGGUCUGAAUACUUUUGUAAUUGCAUAUUAUUAAAAAUUUAGCACAGCCACUGAGCUAUACAAUAAAAUCUAUCUGUAUAGCGCCACCUGCUGUUUUGUUCUUUUCCUUAUUUCUCUGUCCGGCUC